UACUCCUACGGGAGGCAGCAGUGGGGAAUAUUGGACAAUGGACCGAGAGUCUGAUCCAGCAAUUCUGUGUGCACGAUGAAGUUUUUCGGAAUGUAAAGUGCUUUCAGUUGGGAAGAAAGAAAUGACGGUACCAACAGAAGAAGUGACGGCUAAAUACGUGCCAGCAGCCGCGGUAAUACGUAUGUCACGAGCGUUAUCCGGAUUUAUUGGGCGUAAAGCGCGUCUAGGUGGUUAUGUAAGUCUGAUGUGAAAAUGCAGGGCUCAACUCUGUAUUGCGUUGGAAACUGUAUAACUAGAGUACUGGAGAGGUAAGCGGAACUACAAGUGUAGAGGUGAAAUUCGUAGAUAUUUGUAGGAAUGCCGAUGGGGAAGCCAGCUUACUGGACAGAUACUGACGCUGAAGCGCGAAAGCGUGGGUAGCAAACAGGAUUAGAUACCCUGGUAGUCCACGCCGUAAACGAUGAUUACUAGGUGUUGGGGGUCGAACCUCAGCGCCCAAGCAAACGCGAUAAGUAAUCCGCCUGGGGAGUACGUACGCAAGUAUGAAACUCAAAGGAAUUGACGGA
rnacentral:rRNA from 1 species